rnacentral:rRNA from 1 species
AUGACGCUGGCGGCAGGCCUAACACAUGCAAGUCGAGCGAGAAAGCCUUCGGGUGAGUAGAGCGGCGGACGGGUGAGUAACGCGUGGGAAUCUGCCUAGUAGUGGGGGACAACUCGGGGAAACUCGAGCUAAUACCGCAUACGUCCUACGGGAGAAAGGGGGCUUCGGCUCUCGCUAUUAGAUGAGCCCGCGUUAGAUUAGCUUGUUGGUGGGGUAAUGGCCUACCAAGGCAACGAUCUAUAGCUGGUCUGAGAGGAUGAUCAGCCACAUUGGGACUGAGACACGGCCCAAACUCCUACGGGAGGCAGCAGUGGGGAAUAUUGGACAAUGGGCGAAAGCCUGAUCCAGCCAUGCCGCGUGUGUGAAGAAGGCCCUAGGGUUGUAAAGCACUUUCAGUAGGGAGGAAAAGCUAGUAGUUAAUACCUGCUAGCCCUGACGUUACCUACAGAAGAAGCACCGGCAAACUCCGUGCCAGCAGCCGCGGUAAU